GUCCGCCACGACAUCCGAAGAACGUCUGACUUUUAAUCAGAGGGUCCUGGGUUCGAGUCCCAGCGCGCUCACCA
rnacentral:tRNA from 1 species